UUUCCACCGCGGCCUCUGCCGAGGUUGGUGUGUCCUGCGGAGCUCCGAGCACGUGCGGUGCCCAGCUGCCAGUUUGAAGCGAUGUCUGCCCUGGAUGACUUGAAAGUAGGGUGGUCCUCACCAGGCUAAAAGAAGUAAUGAUCCACAACAGGGUGCACUGUGGUUCUAGGUAAGCGUCUCUGUUCUAGCAUUGACUGCCAAGCCUGUUGACUACUUGGUAUGCAUCAGGAAACAAAUGGGAAACUAAGUUCACUCAUGGCAGUUACUGUAGAAUUUUAGUGUUUUUGUUUGAAAGUAGCAUAAACUAUUUUUGCCAUUCCAACCGAGGAAUAAUUUAUAGGAAUAUUAUGUGUGUUGUUUCUGUUCACUGCUAGGCGUCUAAGCUUAGUCCCUGCCAAAUGCAGACACUGCUGGAUAAAGCUAAAAAGCAUAGAAAGUGCUUCAGUGUCUGCUCCCUGGAGUUGUCCUGGGAUACGUGAAAUGGGAAAGGGGAAGAAUUUUUUUCCAACCGGUCCAGCAGUUGUCAGCUAUCCAGGCUGUGUGGUGCCCGAGAUCGUGUUACACUGUUGGCAGAGUAAACACUGCCUUACUAAGGGUUGGCUCCCAGCACUGUUUUGGUGUCUGGUGCUGAGUACUUUCAGGCAGUAUUGCAUCCCUGAGAGUGGAAUGACUCCUUGUGGAGUUGGUCCUGGUCUGGGUGCAAACAAUUUU
ensembl:processed_transcript